rnacentral:rRNA from 1 species
UACGGAGGGUGCAAGCGUUGUUCGGAAUCAUUGGGCGUAAAGCGCGUGUAGGCGGUUUGGUAAGUCAGGUGUGAAAGCCCUAGGCUCAACCUAGGAAUGUCAUCUGAAACUGCCAGACUUGAGUACGGGAGAGGAGAGUGGAAUUCCCGGUGUAGAGGUGAAAUUCGUAGAUAUCGGGAGGAACACCCGUGGCGAAGGCGACUCUCUGGACCGAUACUGACGCUGAGACGCGAAAGCGUGGGGAGCAAACAGG